UUUUAUGUUUUCAACCUGAGAUUGACAUGUUUUUUUCUCCUUUGCUAUUUUUUUGGAAGUGGUGAUGUCAUUACACGUACUCUUUGGCAAUCAAAUGCCAUGCAAUUUAUCAAUUAUUGCAACACCCAUCCAAACGGUCAACCAAUCAGGAUAAUCUUAACACAUGCUACAAUCAAGAAAAGAAAAGGUAAUUAACUACCAUGUGUUUUCAGUUCAUGGUGUGGCUCAAAGCUUUUCAUUGAUGAAGAAAUAAGAGACAUUCAUAAAUAUAAGAAAAUGUACUAUGCAUAUACUUUAAUUUACUCAUCUACCUAUAGUCUUUUGUAAUUAUUAAUAUGACAGUGGUAAAGUUGUUAUUGUAGUUUUCUUACUUUUGAGGAUUCUGCAAUUUCUGAUGAAGGAAACCUGAAGUCGGAUGGCAAUGAAUCCCUGCCAUUCAAAACUGUGAGUCGAUGCAACCUUUGUUUUUGCUAAUUUCCAAUGCAAAGGUAAUUCAUGUAAUAUCUUGCAUACAUUUAAAUUUUUGGACUUUUGUGGUUAGUCUCUGUCUAUUACUAUUGACCAUGAUCCAGACCACCUUCAAGUCCUAACUCCAGCCAUGAGGUUGUCGUCUAAAUUAGUUUUGGACUUGGUUCAAAGCCCUUUAUAUAGUUCCAGUCAAUUGUCAUCUUCAAAGGUGACAAAACAUUUCAAGAUUGAGUGAUAUUUGAUAUUACUUUUUCCAGUUGUAUAUAACCACUUAGCUUACAACAUUUUUUGGUGCAUCACAAGUAUGAUGUAUAUGAUACACUGACCUGAAUUUAUGUGACCUCAUUUUUUGUUGACCUCAUCUCCCUAACAAGGAAACAACUCUACCAUGUUAGCAAGUGAUACUUACAAACCCAAGUACUGAAUCCUAUAUAAGUUUUGUAUAACCUAAUUGGGAUCUUCAAGUGUCUGUUUU